CUCCAGACUCCUACGGGAGGCAGCAGUGAGGAAUAUUGGUCAAUGGGCUUACGCCUGAACCAGCCAGGUCGCGUGAGGGAAGACUGCCCUAUGGGUUGUAAACCUCUUUUGUCAGGGAGCAAUUGGCGCUACGUGUAGCGUUAUCGAGAGUACCUGAAGAAAAAGCAUCGGCUAACUCCGUGCCAGCAGCCGCGGUAAUACGGAGGAUGCGAGCGUUAUCCGGAUUUAUUGGGUUUAAGGGGUGCGUAGGCGGUUCGUUAAGUCAGUGGUAAAAUGGGGGGGCUCACCCCCUCCCCGCCAUUGAAACUGGCGAUCUUGAGUGGAAGAGAAGUAUGCGGAAUGCGUGGUGUAGCGGUGAAAUGCAUAGAUAUCACGAAGAACCCCGAUUGCGAAGGCAGCAUACCGGCUCCACACUGACGCUGAGGCACGAAAGCGUGGGUAUCGAACAGGAUUAGAUACCCCCGUAAG
rnacentral:rRNA from 1 species